rnacentral:sRNA from 1 species
AGCUGUACAGAGUUAUUAAUGAAACAUAAGUAAAAAGUAAACCUUAGAAUUUCUUCGUUAUUGUUGUUAUCCUAGUUUCCCUUAUAUUCAUCGUACAUUCAAUAAUUCACUUAGCAGCACGUCGCAUAUGCGAUAUUUUUAUGAAUUUAACUAUAAGGGGCAUAACAUGUCUAAUUCAACAACUGGUCUAGUAAAAUGGUUUAACGAAGAGAAAGGUUUUGGUUUCAUUACUCAAGACAAUGGCGGCGAUGACGUUUUCGUUCACUUCCGUUCAAUCACUUCAGACGGCUUCAAGACUCUUGCUGAAGGCCAAAAAGUAUCUUUCGAAGUAGAGCAAGGUCAAAAAGGCCUUCAAGCAGCUAACGUAGUUGCGCUUUAACUUUGUAAGUUGACGUAGAUGGUCUCACGACCAUUUACGUCAU